UACGAAGGGGGCUAGCGUUGCUCGGAAUCACUGGGCGUAAAGCGCACGUAGGCGGCUUCUUAAGUCAGGGGUGAAAUCCUGGAGCUCAACUCCAGAACUGCCUUUGAUACUGAGAGGCUCGAGUCCGGGAGAGGUGAGUGGAACUGCGAGUGUAGAGGUGAAAUGCGUAGAUAUCUGGAGGAACACCGGUGGCGAAGGCGACAUCCUGGACCGGUACUGACGCUGAGGCGCGAAAGCCAGGGGAGCAAACGGG
rnacentral:rRNA from 1 species